rnacentral:rRNA from 1 species
GUAGGUGGCAAGCGUUGUCCGGAAUUAUUGGGCGUAAAGCGCGCGCAGGCGGUCCUUUAAGUCUGAUGUGAAAGCCCACGGGCUCAACCGUGGAGGGUCAUUGGAAACUGGGGGACUUGAGUACAGAAGAGGAAAGCGGAAUUCCACGUGUAGCGGUGAAAUGCGUAGAGAUGUGGAGGAACACCAGUGGCGAAGGCGGCUUUCUGGUCUGUAACUGACGCCGAGGCGCGAAAGCGUGGGGAGCAAACAGGAUUAGAUACCCUGGUAGUCCACGCCGUAAACGAUGAGUGCUAAGUGUUAGGGGGUUUCCGCCCCUUAGUGCUGCAGCUAACGCAUUAAGCACUCCGCCUGGGGAGUACGGCCGCAAAGGCUGA